rnacentral:lncRNA from 1 species
AGGGGCAAUAAAUCCCACCUUAUGCAUUCUAUACCUAUUAACUUUUUUUUGAUGUCAUAGGUCUGGAGCAAAGCCCCAACACCAAGCCCAGACUGAAAUUCUUCACUUCACUGAGGGAUCAAAACAUCACAUCUAUCUCUAAAGGGCUGAUUUACUGACAUAAUGAGUGCAAUGGAGAUUAGAUUCAAAGAAUUCCUGGAUCACAUUUUUCUCCCUUGGUUGCAACAUAUACAGUCUAGAAGUAUGCUUAAUUUGGAGUCUGUACGCAUCACAUGAUGUGGUAUUGACAAUCAGAAACAGUGAAUCAAAAUGGUAAACACUGAACUCUUGGACUGUCUUCUGAAAUCACCAGUUGUUGUCUUGGUGGAUUUUUGUUGCUGACUUGUCCUCUAUAAAUUGGGUAAAGGCCUUCAACCUGCUUCAAAUUUGUACCAAGCAGUUAAGAUGGUAACAAAGAUGCUAUUGAGAUGGUAGUGAAUUGCUGUCAGUACAUCACGUAUCAUACUCAAGUCAAAGCUUGGCUGUUUCUAGUCUUCAGCUGCACAGCCACUCGAUGAUCAAAGCAAAAUGUUUCCUUUCAUUUAUUCAUGCCUUUUUUAAAUAAUUCAAUGAAAAUGACACUUUGUAUUUGUUUUGUCUAGCCAAUAAAUCCAUGCUUUACAAAAA